CCUACGGGAGGCAGCAGUGAGGAAUAUUGGUCAAUGGUCGGGAGACUGAACCAGCCAAGCCGCGUGAGGGAUGAAGGUACAGAGUAUCGUAAACCUCUUUUGUCAGGGAACAAAGGCGGGGACGUGUCCCCGGAUGAGUGUACCUGAAGAAAAAGCAUCGGCUAACUCCGUUCCAGCAGCCGCGGUAAUACGGAGGAUUCGAGCGUUAUCCGGAUUUAUUGGGUUUAAGGGGUGCGCAGGCGGUCUGUUAAGUCAGAGGUCAAAGCCCGGGGCUCAACCCCGGCCCGCCGUUGAAACUGGCAGUCUUGAGUUGGAGAGAAGUAUGCGGAAUGCGCGGUGUAGCGGUGAAAUGCAUAGAUAUCGCGCAGAACUCCGAUUGCGAAGGCAGCAUGCCGGCUCCACACUGACGCUGAGGCACGAAAGCGUGGGUAUCGAACAGGAUUAGAUACCCGGGUAGUC
rnacentral:rRNA from 1 species